UACUGUGAACAUUUUAUAUGUGUAUUUUGUUAACAUCAUCAUAUUGAUAUCUAGAGUAUUUACUUUUAGAUAAGUGUGUUAAUUCUGUACUGUGAACAUUCUACAUGUAUAUGUGUAUUUUGUUAACAUCAUCAUAUUGAUAUCUAGAGUAUUGACUUUUAGAUAAGUGUGUUAAUUCUGUACUGUGAACAUUCUACAUGUAUAUGUGUAUUUUGUUAACAUCAUCAUAUUGAUAUCUGGAGUAUUGACUUUUAGAUAAGUGUGUUAAUUCUGUACUGUGAACAUUCUACAUGUGUAUUUUGUUAACAUCAUUAUAUUGAUAUCUAGAGUAUUAACUUUUAGAUAAGUGUGUUAAUUCUGUACUGUGAACAUUUUAUAUGUGUAUUUUGUUAACAUCAUCAUAUUGAUAUCUGGAGUAUUAACUUUUAGAUAAGUGUGUUAAUUCUGUACUGUGAACAUUUUAUAUGUGUAUUUUGUUAACAUCAUCAUAUUGAUAUCUAGAGUAUUGACUUUUAGAUAAGUGUGUUAAUUCUGUACUGUGAACAUUCUAUAUGUGUAUUUUGUUAACAUCAUCAUAUUGAUAUCUGGAGUAUUGACUUUUAGAUAAGUGUGUUAAUUCUGUACUGUGAACAUUUUAUAUGUGUAUUUUGUUAACAUCAUCAUAUUGAUAUCUGGAGUAUUGACUUUUAGAUAAGUGUGUUAAUUCUGUACUGUGAACAUUUUAUAUGUGUAUUUUGUUAACAUCAUCAUAUUGAUAUCUAGAGUAUUAACUUUUAGAUAAGUGUGUUAAUUCUGUACUGUGAACAUUUUACAUGUAUAUGUGUAUUUUGUUAACAUCAUCAUAUUGAUAUCUAGAGUAUUGACUUUUAGAUAAGUGUGUUAAUUCUGUACUGUGAACAUUCUACAUGUAUAUGUGUAUUUUGUUAACAUCAUCAUAUUGAUAUCUGGAGUAUUGACUUUUAGAUAAGUGUGUUAAUUCUGUACUGUGAACAUUCUACAUGUGUAUUUUGUUAACAUCAUUAUAUUGAUAUCUAGAGUAUUAACUUUUAGAUAAGUGUGUUAAUUCUGUACUGUGAACAUUUUAUAUGUGUAUUUUGUUAACAUCAUCAUAUUGAUAUCUAGAGUAUUAACUUUUAGAUAAGUGUGUUAAUUCUGUACUGUGAACAUUUUAUAUGUGUAUUUUGUUAACAUCAUCAUAUUGAUAUCUGGAGUAUUGACUUUUAGAUAAGUGUGUUAAUUCUGUACUGUGAACAUUCUAUAUGUGUAUUUUGUUAACAUCAUCAUAUUGAUAUCUGGAGUAUUGACUUUUAGAUAAGUGUGUUAAUUCUGUACUGUGAACAUUUUAUGUGUGUAUUUUGUUAACAUCAUCAUAUUGAUAUCUGGAGUAUUGACUUUUAGAUAAGUGUGUUAAUUCUGUACUGUGAACAUUUUAUAUGUGUAUUUUGUUAACAUCAUCAUAUUGAUAUCUAGAGUAUUGACUUUUAGAUAAUUGUGUUAAUUCUGUACUGUGAACAUUCUACAUGUAUAUGUGUAUUUUGUUAACAUCAUCAUAUUGAUAUCUAGAGUAUUGACUUUUAGAUAAGUGUGUUAAUUCUGUACUGUGAACAUUUUAUAUGUGUAUUUUGUUAACAUCAUCAUUUUGAUAUCUAGAGUAUUAACUUUUAGAUAAGUGUGUUAAUUCUGUACUGUGAACAUUCUACAUGUAUAUUUGUAUUUUGUUAACAUCAUCAUAUUGAUAUCUAGAGUAUUAACUUUUAGAUAAGUGUGUUAAUUCUGUACUGUGAACAUUUUAUAUGUGUAUUUUGUUAACAUCAUCAUAUUGAUAUCUAGAGUAUUGACUUUUAGAUAAGUGUGUUAAUUCUGUACUGUGAACAUUCUACAUGUAUAUGUGUAUUUUGUUAACAUCAUCAUAUUGAUAUCUAGAGUAUUAACUUUUAGAUAAGUAUGCUAAAUCUGUACUGUACAUUUUAUUUGUGUAUUUUGUUAACAUUAUAAAAUGUUUAUUCGGUAUAUACAUGCACACAAACAUACAUAUAUAAAUACCAAGGAUAAAUCAGGAAAGCUCGAAAGCUUAUUUCCAAUGGGGUCCUUUGAUGCACGGAUGUUUGCGCUAGGGGGUCAUUUAUGUGGAGGGAAACCGGAGUACCCAGAGGAAACUCACAUGUCCGAGCGGGAAUCCGAAUCACAUACAACCACUGCUGAUCACGGGAAUCGAACUCGGAUCGCAGCUGUGAGAAUUGAGAGCAGUGCCUCUGCGCUACCCGGACACCCUUAAUAAUAUUAAUGUAUAGUGUACAUGUUUUGACUUUCAGAUAUGUAUGCUAAAUCUGUUCUGUGAACAUUCUGUAUGUGUUACUAUUUUGCAUCUGGUAUAUUACAACGGAAAUUCACAAACAUGUAAUAAAUAUUCAUUUAUUUGAGAGAAAAAGACUUCGAACUGAAAUGUAUACCCCUCAUCGCAAAACAUUGAUAGUAUGAUAAUAUGAACAUAUUUUUAUCUGAACACAAAUGAAAGGCGAAGAUAACGAACAAUGAUCAAUCUCAUAACUCCUAUAAGCAAUACAAAAUAGAGUUGGACAAACAUGGACCCUUGGAUAUACCAGAGGUGGGAUUAGGUGCCUAGGAGGAGUAACCAUCCCCUGUCGACCGGUCAAACCGCCAUGAGCCCUAUAUUUUGAUGAGGUAAACGGAGUUAUACGUAGUCAAAAUCGGUGUGCCAAGAACGGCCCAACAAUCGGCAUGAAACACGUCAGACAGCAUUUGGCCCAAUGACAGGCUGUAUCGGCAAACUAGAUCGUUAUAACGACCAUAGAAUUUGCGAAAUGCUGAUUUUAAACGAGACUGUUGGAACCCCUGCACCAUCAACUUGUUUGUCAGUAGCCUGCUUCGAUUUAAAAACUGACCAUGCGCAGAGCAAGCUCUUGCGUAUCGAAUCAGUUGAGAGAUGUAAACACCAUAUGCAGGUGAUAAUGGAAUAUUGCUACAUAAAUAUUAGCCUGGUACCCGAGGCCUUCCGAUGUUCAAAGAACGAAGGCCAGGCAUCGGAUGUCGAAUGGAUUCUUCCACUGAUCAAAAUCCAAUAUGGCGGACUCAAUGAUGAAUUUCCAUACAUAUGGAAAGAAGAAACACAUGAUAGUAGAUGAAAAAACACCCUCAUACAUAAUGCUUCAUGAAUAUGCAAAACCAUGCCAACAGUCUACAGACUCCAGAUGGAAAAAGACAGAGAAAGAAAUUCUAAAGGGGUAUUCAAGGACCCAUCCUCCUCCACACUAAUUCAUAUUGGAAGGAAUUAACAUCCAACUUGAAUGAAGAAUUACAGACUUCCAGAACAGACCCUUUAAAAAAGGAGAAGCCAGAUCUUCAGAAGACUUCCUUGAAAAUGAGAAUUUUUUGAGUGGAAGUGAAGAAUAUGGGAUGCAUACAAGCAGACAUCAGCAUUCCCUCCCUCUUGUUUGUAUCAGAGGUGAGCUUUUUGAGAAAGACUUAUGGAGGAAGUUUGAGAGUGUCAGUUCUCAGAUCAAGAAGUUAGCUAACAGUAGGAGGAGUAGUAAUUCAUUCCACUGUAUGGUCAGAGAAAUAUAUGACAUAAAAGACCCGAAAAAGGAGAUUUGGCAUUGUUUCAUGUGGAAAUUGGAGAAUCUUUGAAAUGGAUACAUGCAACACAUACAUGUUUCAGUUACUUGGGGAUAAAACUUAUGAGGAAUUUUGCUAACUUUCAGAUGGGAAUGUGUUGCACAAGAAAUGCUUGAUCACAACCUUCUUUUAUUAGAAACCUUUUCUAUACAAAUAAUUAUUUUAAAUGAAAUUUAGCUAUUUCAUUAGACUAGUAAACAUGUUUUCUGUGCAAGUGUGUGUCUUUGACAUUAAAUGCUAUGAUAUAUUGAAGUAUUUUUAAACAAUGGAAGAUCUCUACUAGUUCUUUCAAAGGAAAGCCAACAACAGGAAUCGAACCUGUUCCUCCAUCGUACAGAUACGAAAGUGUGCACCAGUACACCAUGUUGACAUAUAUUAAGAACUAGUAGCCUUGGAGAGUACAUAUUGUAUUAUUCUUGUACAGUUGAUACUGGUUGGUGUGAUAUAUAUAUAUGUAUAUAUAUAAUAUACAUACAGCUUAGUAUAUAUAAUGCAUGCCUCAUGUUUGCUAGUCGUCAAUAAAGCAUUUGAAUUGAA